GUCAGGGUCAACUAUAUGCUUACAUUUUUUAUCUUCUAUUUUUAUUUUAUUCUUUUUAUUAUUAUUUAAAAGGAUCUAGGUUGUUAAUUAUUUGUAAAUAACUAUUCAACUACAAUAUUUUUUAUAAAUUUAUUCUGAACAAGUUGUAGCUGAAUUGACUCGAGUCAUUUACGGCAGAAAUGAACAAGUCGAGACCGAAUCGAGUCAUUUGGGGCUGUUGACUCGAGUCGAAUCAUUUUUCGUACUCGAGUCGCAGAACUGAUUGCGACUCGAGUCCAAGACCGUCCAAGUCAAUGACAAUGACUCGACUCGUUU